rnacentral:rRNA from 1 species
CACGUAGGGCGCAAGCGUUGUCCGGAAUUAUUGGGCGUAAAGAGCUCGUAGGUGGUUUGUCGCGUUGUUCGUGAAAACUCACAGCUUAACUGUGGGCGUGCGGGCGAUACGGGCAGACUGGAGUACUGCAGGGGAGACUGGAAUUCCUGGUGUAGCGGUGGAAUGCGCAGAUAUCAGGAGGAACACCGGUGGCGAAGGCGGGUCUCUGGGCAGUAACUGACGCUGAGGAGCGAAAGCGUGGGGAGCGAACAGG